rnacentral:lncRNA from 1 species
UGGUAUUUGUGGCAUAAGGCAAAGUAGCAUCAUACCUUCCCUCUUCUCUCCCUAUAACUAAUAAGCUUAUGUGGAGUUGGAGGUAAUUUAAGGAUAUAUCAUACUUACCUUGCAUGUGUUUCCCAAUCAAACCAGGAUCCUUAGAGGGGAAACCAUACCCUUAGAUCAUGAUGUGCAAGUGUAUGGACCUAUAUAUGUGGAAUGGGUGUGUAUGUGGUGGUAGAUAUAUGGUGGAACAAUGGGUGUAACAUGGUGACGGUGAACACAGUGGUAAGGGAAUAUGAUGGAAACCUUAUAUUUAUUUGCUUGCUCCUUGAGGGGGUACUUCUCUAUUUUAAACUUUGAAAACUUUGAAGAACACUUGGGCUAGAUACUCUUAUUCUUUCUUUUUUUCUUCUCUUUUUUAGAACUUGUCUCCCAAGCUUCUUUUGCUGAUGAAUAGCAAGAGAUAGUAACAAGGACUGUUGGAGCAUUUAUUGAAUAGCAAUAGAGACAAUGAUAAGGUUUGAUGAAAUGGGAAAAAUGUAAUAUUUUUUGUUCUUCAUUCCCAAGAUAGGAAUAGAACAUUUUUGAUGGAUCUAAAUAGAAAGCAUGUUGUUAUGUACUUUCAGGGUAGAAGCAGCAUAUUUGGGUGGAGUGUAUGUGAUCUUGAUUUUGAGAGUAUGAUGAACCUCUCAACAAGGGUCUUAGACGGGUUGAUCAGAUUCAACACAAAGUAAGUAGCCUAUGAGCUAGUUUUCCUAGUCUAGCAUAUGUAUAGCUGUGGUAGAAAUUUAAUCACUCAUCAUACAGAAACUCAUCAUGUAGCAAUUUUAAGUUUUUCAAAAGAUAAAUCUCCAGAACUCCAGUAUCACUAGGAACAAGAUAAAUAGCAACUCAAAACCUUUUCAUAUCACACUUGUGAAGCACCUAGACUUG